AUUGAACGCUGGCGGCAUGCCUUACACAUGCAAGUCGAACGGUAACAGGUUAAGCUGACGAGUGGCGAACGGGUGAGUAAUGUAUCGGAACGUGCCCAGUCGUGGGGGAUAACUGCUCGAAAGAGCAGCUAAUACCGCAUACGACCUGAGGGUGAAAGCGGGGGAUCGCAAGACCUCGCGCGAUUGGAGCGGCCGAUAUCAGAUUAGGUAGUUGGUGAGGUAAAGGCUCACCAAGCCGACGAUCUGUAGCUGGUCUGAGAGGACGACCAGCCACACUGGGGCUGAGACACGGCCCAGACUCCUACGGGGGGCAGCAGUGGGGAAUUUUGGACAAAGGGCGCAAGCCUGAUCCAGCCAUGCCGCGUGCGGGAAGAAGGCCUUCGGGUUGUAAACCGCUUUUGUCAGGGAAGAAAAGGUUCUGGCUAAUACCUGGGACUCAUGACGGUACCUGAAGAAUAAGCACCGGCUAACUACGUG
rnacentral:rRNA from 1 species